GAUGAACGCUGACAGAAUGCUUAACACAUGCAAGUCUACUUGAACUUCGGUUUGGGUGGCGGACGGGUGAGUAACGCGUAAAGAACUUGCCUCACAGUUAGGGACAACAUUUGGAAACGAAUGCUAAUACCUGAUAUUAUGAUUUUAGGGCAUCCUAGGAUUAUGAAAGCUAUAUGUGCUGUGAGAGAGCUUUGCGUCCCAUUAGCUAGUUGGAGAGGUAACGGCUCACCAAGGCGAUGAUGGGUAGCCGGCCUGAGGGGGUGAACGGCCACAAGGGGACUGGGACACGGCCCUUACUCCUACGGGAGGCAGCAGUGGGGAAUAUUGGACAAUGGACCAAAAGUCUGAUCCAGCAAUUCUGUGUGCACGAUGACGUUUUUCGGAAUGUAAAGUGCUUUCAGUUGGGAAGAAAAAAAUGACGGUACCAACAGAAGAAGUGACGGCUAAAUACGUG
rnacentral:rRNA from 1 species